GCCCAGCCGUAAACUUUUAUUUACAUCUAAAUCGCCAGGGAACUACGAGCUAAGCUUAAAACCCAAAGGACUUGACGGUACCCCACAUCCUACUAGAGGAGCCUGUUCUGUAAUCGAUAAUCCGCGUUUAACCUCACCAUCUUUAGUUAAUCAGCCUGUAUACCUCCGUCGUCAGCUUACCACGUGAGCGCAAAUUAGUGGGCCCAAUGUUAUUACACCAAUACGUCAGGUCAAGGUGCAGCAAAUGAGAUGGGAAGAGAUGGGCUACACUUUCUAUUUUAGAAAAAACGGAAAACUACCUAUGAAACCUAGUUGGAAGGCGGAUUUAGCAGUAAAAAGGAAUCAACACGUCCAUUUUAACUUGGCACUGGGGUGUGU
rnacentral:rRNA from 1 species